rnacentral:lncRNA from 1 species
AAUGAUCUAUCUUUCAUACCUGAGGUGCCGAGCUUCCCGAAUGAGUCUUUCAAAUUGAAUAUUCUCUCCAAAACUUCGCUUAUAACUUUUCAAAACUCCAUUCGACUUCACGAAAUUCGCCAACUUAGAAAAUCCUUAACAAUCUCUCCCUUUGGUGAUUUCGUGACAAAACAUAUUACAAUGCUCAUACAAACCUCAAAAACAAUAAAAAGAAGAUUAUCACAAUCACCAAACGACAAUCUCUUGCAUGACCGAUCCAAUAAAAAAAAAUUACAUUUUUCUCACAAUUCUAAUACAAACUUUAUGACUUA